CGCGCAGGUGGGAUUUUAAGUCCAUUUUGAAAGUUCGGAGCUUAACUCCGUGAUGGGAUGGAAACUGGGAUUCUUGAGUACCGGAGAGGAAAGCGGAAUUCCCCGUGUAGCGGUGAAACGCGUAGAUAUGGGGAGGAACACCAGUGGCGAAGGCGGCUUUCUGGACGGUGUCUGACACUGAGGCGCGAAAGCCAGGGGAGCGAACG
rnacentral:rRNA from 1 species